GCGUGGCAAAGCGCUGGCCUCAAUAGGGAGAGGUCAAAGGAGAUCAGAGAAUGUUGUGGAGGCGCACGGCAGUUAUCUUUUGUGUAGGGAAAGGGCUGCAGGAAAGGCAAGAAAAUCCAAGUAAACGGCACGAAAAGUCCUGGGUGUAAGCAGCUGCAAGAAAUAGUCAGAUAAAACAGGAGGAAAAACUUUCCAAGAUAAGAAAAGCAAGACAUGGGAAAAAAAAAAAAAAAAGAAAAAAAAGAAAAUAAUGUCCUUGGGGCUUGUGGAGGCUCUCUCCGUCUUUGGAGGUCUUAAAGCGCGGAUUAGGGAGAGCUCUGCCAGGAAUGAUCCUGCCUCGGGGCAGCCGGAGACCAGAUGAUGGGCCUGUCAGCUCUCUGCCUCCAAGAGCAGGGCUUGUGCUUCUCCUCCUCUUCUCCCGGGUGAGCAAGGCAUCUCUGUGACCCUCCUUGAUGCUCUUCUAGCAGCACUCCGGAAAAAAAAAAAAAAAAAAAAAAAACAACAAAACCUUGGAAAGAGUGGAAAUCUUGGAAAAGGGCUGUCUUUCCCUGCUUUGGCCAGGAGCUGCUUUAGCACGGGAGGGGAAGAUGCUCAGGGGGCUUUUCUCUCCCCUUCUGCCACCGGCGCCACGGCAGUAACUCUUUUCUGGUUUAAUCUGACGGCGGCUCUGCGUGUCUGAGGGAUGAGGUCAUGCUCGCUCGCCCGCGGGCCUGCUGAUGCUUUUGCUUCGGUCCCUCUAGUUUGGGGAGGUGGGGGUGGGUGGGAUCGCACUCCCUGCAGAGGCUCUGGGUCCCUGUGCGGGGCAGGGGGGUGGUUUGGGGGUCUCCUUAACUGCCAAGCAUGGCUGCAGACUUUUGCCCUUCUCUGUGUAUGGACGUGUGUGUGUGGCACCUUGGAUGGGCACAGGUAAAAACCCUGGCUGUCCCCCCUGCCCAUUUUACCUCUGCCUGGGAUGCUAGUCCACCUCCCCCAGGAUGCUAAUCCAUCUCCCCCGGGACUCCUCCUUGCUUCUUGCAGCUGCUUUUAAAAACACAAACCAAACCAAGCAGCUGGAGAAAUGCUUUUUUUUCCUCCUUCUUCUUUUUUUUUUUUUUUUUUUUUUUUUUUUUUUCUCCCACUUUUACCAUUUCUUGCCAGAAAUCAGCCCAUUGUGAGUCUUCAAAUCUUUGGGAGGAGGAAAUGUGGUGACCAAUGGCUGGAGAUACAGCCCUCGCUUCUCACUCUGGUAGAUCCUGAGCUCCUGGCACCUAAACUCAUGAUACUGAGGGUAGCAAAGCCAAUUUAGUUAAUUGGUGGAGAUUGCUACAAUUUUAUUAGACCUAAUGCCCUCUCCCCUCAGGAGGCUUGCAUGGCUGAGCAAAACGACCAGUGCCUAUGAAGACACAAAAUAUAGACCCAAUUAAGUUUUUUUUGUUUUGUUUUGUUUUGUUUUUUUUUUUUUUAAGAAAUCCUUCCAGCCUGGCAUGAAGGUUUUCCUAGCCCUCAAAUUCAGGAUUAAUUGCACUUAGGGGUCAAUAGCUGCAAUUACUGCUGGUGGUGGAGGUUUGGGGCACGUCACCUGGGCUCUGGCUCCGACGGUGGUACCCAGCCGGGAUGUGUAGAGCUUGGUCCUGCCACGCAUCUCCCCAAGCUGGCCAGAGCUUUGUACUGCCAGAUAAAAAAUCAGGCUUUGGGAAUACAUGCUGGGGUCUCCUGGAGGGAAUCGGAGUCUGAUUUGGGAUUUUAAAAGCAGCAGCUGUUGUGAGCUUUCUUCUCUGGAAGCUGGAAAGAAAAGCUGCUCCUCCCUGAACCUAGAGGUCACCUAAUAAAUGGGAAAGUCCCCGAAGAGAUGUCACUGGUAAAUCUCAGGCCUGAAGAGAGGAGAGCCUGUUGCAUCAGAAAGCAGAAUUACAAAGUGUAUUAUCGAUGGAGGAAACGGGGGGUGGAGAUAAUAGCACUCGAGGAGGGGAAAACAGGAAAAAGCUCUAUUUGAACUCAAAAAUGGAAAGGAAAAGGUUAAGCCUGAAGUCAAGAAGGGUCGGGCAGAGUUAAAGGCCGGGAGGGGAAAGCUGGGAGACAAAGAGGAGAACAGAUCGGUCAAGGCAAAGGGGAAGGACGGAAGGUAAAGGACAAGUGGGGAAGGAAAGAAAAGGACAAAAGAGGGGACAGAGGGGCUGGGGGGGGGGGCAGCAGGGGUUAUUCUCAGCUGCAGCUGAAAUGGGGUGUUGCAGGGCUUUUGGGGGGCAAGGGUGAAUGUGCUGAUGGGGAAGAGAAGGUGGGGUGUCCAGGUACCCGCCCUGCUGCCUUGGCCAAGUCCUCUCGGGGUGCGUGGGACACCUCUGCGCCGCUUCGGUCCCACUCGGGGCCACGCUACGGUGCAGCCGCUGUCUCUCUUCUCCUGUUCAUUAAUACACUAAAAAUAAUAGAUAUUAAUUUAUUAUAAAAAAAUUAAAUGGUUGCAGAUCUCAAUUCAGCUUUCCCAGCAAGAAAUAGCCCAUAGUUGCUUUGCUUUUUCAAUCUGCCCAUCCUCUCUUUACUCUGGGAACUGGGAAGAAGAAGGCUGGAAAGAGCGAUGACUUUUCCUUUUUAAAUGGUGGUGUGUCGGGAGAGAUAACACAAAAAUCCACUUGCAGUGGCUGAUUGUUUUAAAAUUUCAGGCAGGUAAAACCAACGGGUAGGGCUGAUGCCGCUGCCAGGGUGACAAAAUAAACACCUCAGCAUCUGGGAGGCCAAGAGGACCCCCUUAGGGGUGGUCUUCUCACCAGGCACAGCAAGUUAUAGGGUCGGUAGCCCAAACCAUUUCUUUAUUACCUUCAGAAGGUCCGCACGGGGCAGGAAUUGUGUGUCUGUUCACGGCCACUGAUGUUCAGCCAGAUUUACACUGCCAAAGCCAAUGGUUUGGUAACGUCAGGGAAGCGUUAAUGGUCUAGAGGGACUGGAUGAGUUCAUGGAUCUUGGGGAUGAAGAAAUAAUUUCUGCUUCUGCAAAAGAAGUAAUUAAGCGAUGUUUUGCGGAGCUGGUUCUUCACAACUAAAGUAUGCUCUUUAUUACGUGUUUCAUCAUAAAUCUAUUUAGUGAUAAUAAGGGCUUGUUCCAGCUUUAAUACUCUAAUGGGUGCGUAUCUGCCUAAAUCACCUAAAAGGCUUGGAGCACAAAUUCUUUUUCUAUCUUUCACGCAAAGAAUCUCUUACAUGGCACUUCUUGUGUUUAAUUACCUAUUGCACUAAGCAACAGAAGCAUGCAAAGACUUAAAUCGGGCAACAAAAUCAGGUUUUCCAACUUGAAAUCCUCUUUCUCUAGUUGAAGUAAGAUUAUUCAUCUCUUUUCCCGGAGGCCUCUUGCGGCUUUACCUACAGGGGAUUUUCGGUUGGAUUAUGAUCACCGAGACCUCAGUCCCCUCUCCUCUCCUCAAAGCCCAACCCAAUCACCCAGCUAGAAAGCAAGGCUCUUCACCCCCAUCUGUAGCUCCAGAGCGAUGCUCUGGCAGCAGCCGUUCUGCGUAACAUGAUGGGAACACGCUGAAGCACCGCUUCCCCAGAAACGGCCGCAGCAGGACCUUCUCCGAGGAGGUCCCCCGUCCCCACGUGUGGAUCCUCCCUCCGGCACCUGGCAGCCCCACCAUCCCACCCACGCCUGCCGCGGAGGUAAGCAGGGCUUUCCCAAGGUGGCUUUUCUCAAACGGUGGUCCUCUCCUGCCGCUCCCUGCAUCGCUGGGCUGGGAGCAAAGCUCCAACCGAAGUCCUGCCAAGGAGAUCCAAAACAACAAUCCUAACAGUAGAGCUGAUGCGAGGUUUGCAGCCCGGCGUGUUGUCUUCCCCCCUCACCUUUCCCAUCGCACUUUGGCUUAGGCGACAAGGUCUUAGAGGCAGGGAUUACCUUUUAGGACAGGCUUUGGGUUGCUCGGCCGUAACCCGAACUGCCCCUGAGGCCCCAGGUAAGUAUAAUCCAUGCACAACCAGCACAACUGGUAUUACCGGUGCUGCAGCACAGCCCCCUUCCCAGAAACAGCCUUGGAGUCCCGUCCGGGAUGAGAUUCAGAAGAAAAUAAAUAGCUGGACCCAGCGAAUGCAAAAUGGUACCAGAAGGCAUGUUCCUCUGCAUUGAUGGAGGGGACUCCCUCAUUUAUUUGCCCCUCUUCAGGGUGGUAGCGAGGAGCCUGAUGAAGCACAGCCCGCACGGGACCGUGCGGUCCCAGCUGCAGAGCUUUUCGCGAUGCCCUUUGGCAAACCCAAGUGGUGGUCAUCCUUGGAAGAGCCGGCAACGUGGCAUCCAGAAAACUCUCCUUUGCUCUCGCGCAAGCGCCUUCUCCCAUCAUAUAUCUUCCUAAAAACGGAGGGGAGGAGUGGG